rnacentral:tRNA from 1 species
GCCAGGGUGGUUGAGUGGUCCAAAGAGCUGUGUUCAGUUUGCAGCCUCCUCCAGAGAUAUAGGUUCAAAUCCCAGCCCUGGCA